ACCCCACUGCUAUCGGGAUAGGACUAAGACAUGCUAGUUGAGCGCUUCCAGCCAACACGGGAGCGCAGCGCACAGCUCAGUAACACGUGGCUAAUCUGCCCUUGGGACCGGAACACCCCCGGGAAACUGGGGCUAAUUCUCGAUAGGUGAAGAACUCUGGAAUGAGUCUUUGCUUAAAAGACGUUUACGUUAUGCUCGUAGACGUCGCCCAAGGAUGAGGCCGCGACCGAUCAGGUUGUUGGUGAGGUAAUGGCUCACCAAGCCUUUUACCGGUGCGGGCCGUGAGAGCGGGAGCCCGGAGAUGGGCACUGAGACAAGGGCCCAGGCCCUACGGGGCGCAGCAGUCGCGAAAACUUUGCAAUACACGAAAGUGUGACAGGGCUAUCCCGAGUGCCAUCCGCUGAGGAAGGCUUUUACCCAGUCUAGAACGCUGGGGGAAUAAGGAGAGGGCAAGUCUGGUGUCAGCCGCCGCGGUAAUACCAGCUCUCCGAGUGGUGUGGAUGUUUAUUGGGCCUAAAGCAUCCGUAGCUGGCUGAGUUAGUCCCUUGUUAAACCCACCGAUUUAAUCGUUGGCGUGCGGGGGAUACUGCUCGGCUAGGGGACGAGAGAGGCAGACGGUAUUCCCGGGGUAGGGGUGAAAUCCUAUAAUCCCGAGAAGACCACCAGUGGCGAAGGCUGUCUGCUAGAACGCGCCCGACGGUGAGGGAUGAAAGCUGGGGGAGCGAACCGGAUUAGAUACCCGGGUAGUCCCAGCUGUAAACGAUGCAGACUAGGUGUUUGGACGGCCACGUGCCGUUCUAGUGCCGCAGGGAAGCUGUUAAGUCUGCCGCCUGGGGAGUACGAUCGCAAGAUUGAAACUUAAAGGAAU
rnacentral:rRNA from 1 species